GCAGUCGUGGCCGAGUGGUUAAGGCGAUGGACCUAGAAAUCCAUUGGGGUCUUUCCGCACAGGUUCGAAUCCUGUCAACUGCG
rnacentral:tRNA from 1 species